rnacentral:tRNA from 2 species
GCCCAGGUGGCGGAAUUGGCAGACGCGCUAGGUUCAGGUCCUAGUGGGAGUAAAAUCCCGUGGAGGUUCAAGUCCUCUCCUGGGCACCA